GGGGGCGUUAUGGAUUCGACGGGGAUUGUUUGAGCGUGUAACGGCGGGUCGUGGGGCUGCGUGGCCACGUAAAAAACGCAGACCUAAGAAUAACUGGCAAAGCUAAGAAGAACUACACCACAAGCAAUACCCUCGCCCUGGCUGCCUAAUUUGCACCAGGCCGUCACCUUGUAAGUCGCCCGUGCUUACCUUGUGACGUCAACUGAGCGGGAUAGCUCAUAGGCUCUGUCUGCAGCCUGUGAGUGAAAAUUAGCAGACUUACUCCAGUCUAAGCGUGUGCAACCGCGUAGCUGGAGGAAAUGCAAAGGUUGCACUACACCCGUAGAUGUUCACGUGGCAAAAUCUUCGGACGCGGGUUCGACUCCCGUCGCCUCCACCA
rnacentral:tmRNA from 3 species